rnacentral:rRNA from 1 species
UGCAGUCGAGCGGCAGCGACAACAUUGAUUCUUCGGAGGAUUUGUUGGGCGGCGAGCGGCGGACGGGUGAGUAAUGGCUGGGAACCUGCCCUGACGUGGGGGAUAACAGUUGGAAACGACUGCUAAUACCGCAUGAUGUCUUCGGACCAAAGAGGAGGACCUUCGGGCUUCUCGCGUCGGGAUGGGCCCAGUUGGGAUUAGCUAGUUGGUGAGGUAAUGGCUCACCAAGGCGACGAUCCCUAGCUGGUUUGAGAGGAUGAUCAGCCACACUGGAACUGAGACACGGUCCAGACUCCUACGGGAGGCAGCAGUGGGGAAUAUUGCACAAUGGGCGCAAGCCUGAUGCAGCCAUGCCGCGUGUGUGAAGAAGGCCUUCGGGUUGUAAAGCACUUUCAGCAGUGAGGAAGGCGUAGUGGUUAAUACCCGCUGCGCUUGACGUUAGCUGCAGAAGAAGCACCGGCUAACUCCGUGCCAGCAGCCGCGGUAAUACGGAGGGUGCGAGCGUUAAUCGGAAUUACUGGGCGUAAAGCGCAUGCAGGCGGUUUGUUAAGCAAGAUGUGAAAGCCCUGGGCUCAACCUGGGAACCGCAUUUUGAACUGGCAGGCUAGAGUCUUGUAAGGG